AUCAGCUGGCAUGACUUGUUACAAUUUGCAACAAAGCAGACGGCACGUAACAUAGAGUGAUAUUUGAUUACAACACUAGUGGCAUGCUUGGAAUGAGAGACAAAGAGGGCAAAAUCUCACCCCUCGCCCCUGGCAGACGACCGGGAUUUUCCGUUUGCAGUGUCUGGAUUAUUACGCUGGGCUGAGUUUGUGCGCGCUAUACAUAGGUGACCAUUUGGUUUUCCUGCUAUUUGCGGUCCACACGGGAGCACCGGGAAAAACGCGUCCGCACCUUGAUACUUUAACACACACGUGUCCUAGAGGUGUAAUUCUAUGUGUGUGGGUGUGUGGUUUUUGUGCCAGGAUACACCUGUGUGUGGUUGUAAAGCAAUUAUCCAAAUUGCACUUCAAAUUUAACCUCUCUGCUCCCCUUGAGGCAUUUUGGGUCACAAUCUCCCAGAUUUCCAUUAAAAAGGAAAUUGAAAUUUAUAAGUUUCGUGCACUUCUUUUUUAGGGCCAAAACAAUGAAAAUUCUGUAUACGGCCACUACUUAUACACAUUUGGGCAUAUAUAUUGCUAUAUCUGUGAAUAGUUCGAGAAAACUGUAUACAGAUGAGUAGAGGGAAAUAGGAAUAGAGGAAGUCUACCACAACGAAACUAAGUUACAUUAAAUACAUACACCAAAUUUCAGUGAAAUAUUCGGGUUUUAAAUAUAGGGAAACACAGUAAAAUUAAAAGGCAGUCACUUGGAUUGGCCAAUAAUUAUUGACUGCUCCGAACAAUAAAUAUAAACCACUUGCAAGUAAAUAUGACAUAAAUUUGUAGGAAUUAUUUUCAUAUUAAUGCCGAACUGUAAGUGGAAACACUUGCAUUUCAAUAUUUCCACUCUCGGUGCAAAUACAUAUAAUGGCAUACACAUUUAACCCUAGAUGGUCAUGCUUAUUUUUAGUACGUUAAAGUCCGUGCCUUGACGAAACAAUCACAUUUUUUAAAUACUAGUAUAUGAUUCGAAUUAAGGAUACAUUUCGAAGUUCCCUUUCUUUAUAAAAGAAGCGAAGAGAUAUACAUACUUGGUGGUGAGAGUUAGCGCAAAUCUAGAUUUGUGUGUUCUUCUUAAUUUUCAUUUCAGUUAUAAACUUGAAAUGUUUUCUACAACUUUAGCUGAUCAAGUAACUCUUCUCAGCAAAGAAAUAAAUACUUUCGCUCAAGCUUUGAGUAAGUGUUAAAAACAGUAGUUACAGGUGAUCCAAGGACUUGUUGGGCAGACUGCAGCAGCUCAGCAACGGCUGGAGCUGUAUGAAACAUUAGUUCAAAACGACGAAGGCUAAUGGAAAUAAUAGAUGACACAAUCUAGGGUUAAGUCUUAGUUUUAAAAUUUAAGCAAUAACUAAGCAAUAAUUGAAGGUAGGCGUAGAUGAAAUGGAUGCCACCGACAACCAACAAUUACUUCGGGAAUACAUCAUUGUUUGCUAUUUCAAAUGUCAAUGAGACUAGUUGUAUGUUCCAUUCAAUCAUAGAAGUAUUUUUAGCCCGGAAUAAAUAUGUUUUAGAAAACUUAAUUGGCCAGACUGUCCGCCCCUAUACCAAGGUUGGCCUUCAUCCGGAAGAUUGUCAGAGACCACAAGACAAAAGACCUUUUUUGUGAGGUCCUAGGUCGGAGGUGUAAGGGCAAACAGCAUUUGAGUGCUUGCUUCAUUUGGCUCAGGUCUGCCUGCUUCCAGCCCCAGGCGCUUCCCGGUGCGGUCGGUCUGCCCCGGAUCGACCCCAGCACGGCAUCUGGAUAAAGCAAUGUGCAACUAGCCAUGAAGAAGGAGCCAGAGUCCUGCCUGGCACGAGUAUUCAUUGGAGGGCCAGGCAGGACGGACCGGACCGGGCCGUGCCGGGCUGGGCUGGGCCGGGAUGUAGGAGCUACUUAGCAAACAUCAACACCUGUUAAGAGUUACACUCGAGAACAAAGCUGCAAAUUGGCUGGCGGACGCAAGCAACGAGAGAGACAGCUAUAUAACGAGAGAGAGAACGAAAACGGGAACGGGACAGGGAGAGGGAGCUAUGACGAUGGAAAUUUUGCUGACCGCAGGCAAUGGCGAUGUUCCGGGCCAUGACGACGCCAUGGUAAUGGUAGCACAAAGCACGGCAAGGAAGGACGGGGGCCUUAAACUUCAUUAUGAGAUUUGUGUAAUUGUUAACCAAUUUACCGUUACGUUUUGCAUGCCACAAGCCACAGCAGCAGCAACAAAUCCAUUCCAACUGUGCUGCCACUCGCCCUUCAAGGCGAUAACGCUCGUGAUAUAUUGUCCAAAUUAUAAUACCGGAAAUGUUAUUAAUUCAAAAUGCUGCUCAAUUUCGUGCACUUUGUAGGCUGUUGCUGCUUUAGCUCCACGCUGUAGAUGUAAAUGUCGAUUUAGUGAUUGGGCAAACUGCUUCAAACAGCUCAGAUCGUGGUAUUUGUAAUGAGGCUUGCAUCUGCACCGUAUAGAUGUAGCAAUAUAUAUGUAUGUAUAUAUUUUCCAGUGUGCAGUUGCACCUAUCGGUGGUUGCAACUAAAUGAACUAAAUGUUCAGGCAUCCAGAGAAAUCCGCUGAAGCCGACGGCACAGUAGGAUGUGACAGGAAAUGGGAGACUUUUGGUGGAAAAAUAGUUUGAAUAGAAACAAAGAUGGCCUAAGAUAUUCCAUUUGCCAACAGUUAGUAGUGAGUUUCCUUAAUAUGAGAAAAUUUGAUUGGGUUUAUAAAAAGUUACUCCCUCAAUGCUCCACAUCCCAAAAACUGGGAAUCAAGUUAACCAUUAGAACCAUUAGUCGAUAUAACCAUCCAAAUGAAGCAGUAAAAGGACUACACCCUCAAAAAUUAUCGUAUUCAAUUAAACUCUUAAAAUACGAAGUAUGUAGUAAAACUAAAAAGAACUCAGUUAAAAAAUAAAAAAAGUCCAAAUUA